CUGAAAAUUAAAAUGUAAACAGAAAUAUGAUUGAUUAAGUAGAUGAGUGAAUGGUUAUCUUAUUGGAUAUCUUAGAAAAUGAUGGACGGACCGGGUACAUAGAGAAUCCUAUCGUGAAUGUUGCCUAAUAUCGGACGGGGUAUCGAGGAAUAAUAUCUUUAGCGCUUAUACCGGACAGGGUAUGGGGACGACCUGAUUCAUCCUCAUACCGGACAUGGUAUU
rnacentral:lncRNA from 1 species